GAAACACACAGAAGAAAAAAAAAAAAAGUGAACUGCUGCCGACUGCCGCCUGCUCGCAGCCACCGAGCACCACCACCAUCGUAUCCAGCCUGCUGCUGCCGCCUGCCCGCAGCCGCCCAGCCGCCCAGCACGACCGGAGAGGAUUUCAUAGAAGGUGACUUCUAGCUUUAAGGUGGCCAAUCAAUUUGUUUACUCAAGAUUCAUCACAGGUUUUUGCAUAAACUGUCUUGCAUCAGGGUGAUGGGAUUUGAGUGGAGAGUUGGUUAACCAGUUAGCUAAUUUCAUAACACAGAUUGAAUUUUAUUUUGGUGUUGGUUCCGUUACUUCCUAUUUUACUGGAUUUUGAAUAAGGGCCGUUAUGGUUCCAACUUGUAAGACUUUGAGUUUUGACUACCAGUUUUGAAACUUAUAUUCUUUUAAAAACUAAGUUAGUCUUCCGCUGCUGAUUUCUGAAACUAGCCUUAUCGUUUGAACACGUGGCGGUAGCACUCCAAUAAUUCUCUUACAGGUCUUACAGGUUUCACAGGUUAUACAGGUCUUACAGGUUUCACAGGUUAUACAGGUUAUACAGGUCUUACAGGUUUUACAGGUUAUACUCACAGGUUUUUACAGAUUUUCUUUUAAAGAGAAUUAUUGGGGUGUUACAGUAAGUAAACUUUAUUUUUAAUUUUUUAUGUUUUAAUUUUCUAAAUUUUAAGUUUUAAGUCAAAAUUAAUAUAUAAUAAUAUGUUCUAAUAUUCUAACUUUAUACUUUGUGUUCUAAAUUAAUAUUCUUAUUUUCCAAACAUAAUCUCUAGUGUUUUAAACUAAUAUAU